UACGGAAGGCAGCAGUGGGGAAUAUUGCACAAUGGGCGAAAGCCUGAUGCAGCUAUGCCGCGUGUAUGAAGAAGGCCUUAGGGUUGUAAAGUACUUUCAUCGGGGAGGAAAAACAAAACUAAUAAUUUUAUUUCUUGACGUUACCCGAAAAAGAAGCACCGGCUAACUCCGUGCCAGCAGCCGCGGUAAUACGGAGGGUGCUAGCGUUAAUCAGAAUUACUGGGCGUAAAGAGCACGUAGGUGGUUUUUUUAAGUCAGAUGUGAAAUCCCUGGGCUUAACCUAGGAACUGCAUUUUGAAACUGAAAUACUAGAGUAUCGUAGAGGGAGGUAGAAUUCUAGGUGUAGCGGUGAAAUGCGUAGAUAUCUGGAGGAAUACCUGCGGCGAAAGCGGCCUCCUAAACGAAUACUGACACUGAGGUGCGAAAGCGUGGGGAGCAAACAGGGAUUAGAUACC
rnacentral:rRNA from 1 species